UCGGAUUGCAGGCUGCAACCCGCCCUGUAUGAAGUUGGAAUCGCUAGUAAUCGCGGAUCAGCAUGCCGCGGUGAAUACGUUCCCGGGUCUUGUACACACCGCCCGUCACACCAUGGGAGCCGGUAAUACCCGAAGUCAGUAGUCCAACCACGUGAGGACGCUGCCGAAGGUAGGAUUGGCGACUGGGGUGAAGUCGUAACAAGGUAUC
rnacentral:rRNA from 1 species